ensembl:snRNA U6 U6 spliceosomal RNA
GUGCUUGUUCUAGCAGCACAUAUUCUAAAAUUGGAACAAUACAGAGAUCAGUAUGGUUCCUGCACAAGGAUAACACACAAAUUCAUGAAAGUAUUCCAUAUUAA